CAUUAAACUUUGGAUGAUUUUAUUAGAAUAUUUAUCAACAAAGGAUUUAACUUCUUUACAUGGUAGUUGGUUGCUUAAUUGUUCUCUAUCGUGACUUUUACUUGGUCCUUCUAAUGCCAUACCUCUUUCAAUUGCACUAAUGUUUGAACGUAGGAGUUACUGUAUGUUUUCAACUUUUAGUAGUUAAAAGGUUCAUCAAAACUGUUGUGUUUUUCUUGGCAAUGAAGUUCGUGGAGUUGUUGAAUGCCCUGGAAUGGACUUUUCUGAACCGAAAGACUCUUUCUUUGUUGCUAAGUUUGGUUUGCGUUGAAAAAGGCAUCAUUCCCCAUUAAGAGCUGUGUUUGCUGGAAAGAAGAAAACUUGUUCAAUGAAUUGAUCAAGCGAAAACAACAGAGGGAGAUUGCAAAGAAAACAUGUCAUGAAUUGACGAAGAAAUUCGCAAAAGCAGAAGCUGAGUCUGCAGGAGAUUCAAAUUAAGAGGGAGGAGCGAGCUUACCAAACUUUGAGGUCUCUAAGUUCAUUAUUAUACAGAUUCAAACUGAACCAAACUGUGUCUAAGCAAAACCAUAUCCACUCAACAUCACUUUCAUUUUAUUUAAAUGAUAUAUGUACCUCUAUAGUACGAUGCCAAUCCGACCCGUGGUGGCAGAGCGAGGAUCAGUUCUCUGGCCUCGGGUUUGUGUUACCUAGACGGCGUGGCGUCACACAUGUUUGGUUUAAAAGAUUGUUCGGAAAUCUUGAAAGUGACAGAUGCGAAGAAGGACGAAAAGUGCUCAAGUACGAGUUAAUAUAUUCUCCCAUGUACGCUAUCAGGUUUUAGAGUGACUGCCUCGUAAGGCAAGCAUUUCCGAACAAGCUUGAUAUAAUAUAUGGUGUUUUUAACGUAAAAAAGAAAAAAAAAAUCGAAAAAGAUAACUGUGGAAAAAAAAAGAUCGAACUUGAAAAGCUUAUCUUUGCUGAUCAUGGCGCAUAUCCUUAUAUGAUGAUGGUGGUGGUUUGAUUCACAGGAGACUUAAGGUUCGUGGGAAAGGAGACUGAGAUCAAGUUUCAGAUUGAUUGCUGAUGGAGAAAGAGAUGCUGGCUCGAGAAGGAGGAUGAGAUCACCAAAUAGGUCCUCCUGGUUGAAAUCGGCGGCAGAGACUUCACCGGUGGAGAAGUGGCUGGUGAUCAGCGAGAGUUGUGGCAUUGAGGAUUGGGGUGGUGGUGGACCUGGUGGUGGUCGCCGCUUACGCCAAACAAAGGAGUUGGGAGAAAGCGAAGAAGCGACGUGGUUCUCCUCCUUCGUUGACUUGUCUUCAUCACACUGACUCAGCAUACCACAUGAUGUGACCACUAUGCAAUAUCUACUCCUAGUUAUCCGUUGACGUUUCAAAUCCUUAGUCAACAAACCAAUCAGCACCUCAUAAUUUAUCGUAUAAAUUGUUUUGAUCCAAUAAUUGAUAAAUUUUACAUUUUUUAUCCGAAAACAUAUAUACA